rnacentral:tRNA from 1 species
ACAUUUGUAGUGUAGUGGUGAGCACGCUCGGCCCGUAUUCAUGAUGUCCGUGGUUCAAGUCCCGGCGAAGGCA